AUGCAGGGCUUCCCCGGCGGCGUCCCCGAUCCGCAGCAGCUCCAGGCCACCAUGCUCGCCAUCGAGCAGGCCUGCUCCCUCAUCCAGGUGCACAUGAAUCCGGCUGAAGCGGAAAAAGUUCUAAGUUCACUCCAUUCAUCUCUGAUGCCUUAUCAAGCAUGCAGAUUUAUUCUUGAGACAUCCCUAAUGCCAAAUGCGAGAUUCCAAGCUGCUGGAGCAAUUGGUGAUGCUGCAAUAAGGGAGUGGGGAAUUUUAACAGAUGACAACAAAAGAAGCCUAAUACUAUAUUGUUUGAACUACGUUAUGGAGCAUGCAGGUUCCCCUGAUGGCUACGUGCAAUCAAAAGUUUCUGCUGUGGCAGCUAGGUUACUAAAAAGAGGCUGGCUUGAGUUUCCGGAUCAAGAAAAAGGUGCUAUCUUCUUUGAGGUUGAACAGUCCAUCCGGGGCAUGCACGGGCCUAAUCGACAGUUUGCUGGGAUCAACUUCUUAGAAACCUUGGUUUCAGAGUUUUCCCCUUCAACUGCUUCUUCUAUGGGCCUGCCUAAGGAGUUCCAUGACCAAUGCCAAUUGUCACUUGAAGUGAAGUUUCUGAAGGACUUCUAUUGCUGGGCACAAGCUGCUGUAUUCAAUACCGCAGACAAAAUCUUGAAUUCAAAUGUAACUAUACCCGAGGAGAAAGCAUGUUCGGCGGCAUUGCGCCUCAUGCUUCAAAUUUUAAGCUGGAGCUUCAAGCCAACUUUGGAACAUGAGAAUUUAGAUGCCAAAAUAAAAUCUGGUUUGAGGAGCGAUGCCAUAAAUCUGAGGAAAUUCGAACGUUCAUUGGUGAAGCCAGGGUCUUUGUGGACUGAUAUUCUUAUAUCAAGUGCACAUACUAUCUGGGUUUUGAACUUCUAUACUACCCUGCGUCAGAAGUACUCGUAUGAUACACUAUGGGGUGAUUCUCCUAUUGCUGUCUCUUGCAGACAGCUCAUAGUGCAAUUAUGCUCCUUGGCAGGCGCUGUUUUUCCUAAUGAUAAUGGAGAUGCACAAAUUGAACACUUUAUGCACAUACUAUCCGCUGUUAUCUUGUGGAUUGAACCUCCGAAUGUCAUUGCGGAAUCAAUUCGAAAUGGAGGAAGUGAAAGUGAGUUCAUAGAUUCUUGCCAUGUCCUGCUUUCAGUGGCAUCUUUGACUAGUAGUUCACUUUUUGACAACCUCCUGAAAUCGAUAAGGCAAUAUGGCACAAUUAACCUGCUUUCUGCUUUGACAUCCGAAGCUGUCAAGUCUGUUCUGGAUAACCAGAAUGAAGAAGAAACAUGGGGUUCAGAUGCUCUAGAUAUAUUGUUAGAAACAUGGAAUGUUAUUCUGGGGGAAGCUUGUGCUGAUAAAAGUCCUAUGUCAGCUGAUGGAGCACUUGCAGCUUCAAAUUUGUUUAAGAUAAUUGUGGAGUCACAUUUGAAGGCUGCUGCUGAUUCUGCAUUUGAGGAUAGUGACGAUGCUGAAUACUUUCAUGUUUCUGUUUCAAAGCGUGAUGAGCAGUUGGCCUUGUAUGCUCUGAUUGCACGAGCAGCUGCUGACACCACCAUACCCUUUCUUGAGCAACUAUUUUCUGAGCGAUUUGCACGGCUAAGCCAGCAGAGAGAUGUCGAAAAUGAUCCCACUCGAACAUUGGAGGAGCUGUAUUGGCUGUUGCUGAUUACCAGUCAUGUCCUAACUGACUCAGGCGAAGGAGAAACACUGCUUAUUCCUGAAGCUUUGCAGGUGGGAUUCACCAAUGUAGUUGAAGUAGCUCAACAUCCUGUAGUUACGUUGUCAUGGUCUAUAAUAAAUUUUUCAAGGCAAUGUCUAGACCCAGGAAUUAGAGGGAGGUACUUCAGUCCCCGGCUCAUGGAGGCGGUGAUUUGGUUCCUGGCCAGAUGGGUUGCAACCUAUUUAGUACCGCUUGAUGUGAGUAGAGAAAUUGACAGUGUGGGUAGACAUGGAUCCCAGCAUUCUAGAAAAUUGCUAAACAGUUUUGCGUGGGACAAUAACCAAGGGGAGCUUGUUCUUGAUUUUGUUGCUCUCAUGUCAAUGGUGGCACUUACUACAUAUCAGGGCGAAAUUGAGCUGCAGACACUUACAUGCCAAAAACUACUUGCUUCAGUUGUUCGACGGAAACACACAUGUGCUUAUGUUGUUCAGUUGGACUCAUGGCGUGACCUUACAAGGGCUUUUGCAAGUGGGCGUUCUUUAUUUUCAUUGAGUGGACGUUUACAGAGAUCUCUAGCAGAAACACUUGCAUGUGCAGCUUCCUGCAUCAAAGAUCCCGAAGCAUCUGUGCAGUAUUUGAGAGACCUCAUGGGACCAGUCGCAGGAUGCCUAGUAGAAAAUGCUAGUAGGAGUGAUCUUAAAUCUGUUGCACAUCAACCAGAUGUUAUCUACAUGGUCUGUUGCCUAUUGGAACGGCUAAGAGGAGCUGCUAGAGCUACUCAGCCUCGCACUCAAAAGGUUCUGUUUGAGAUGGGUCAUACUGUGAUGAACUCACUCUUGACUCUUCUGGAGGUGUACAAAAAUCAGUCUGAAGUCGUAUACAUGAUACUCAAGUUCGUGGUUGACUUCAUUGAUGGUCAAGCUGUAUUCCUGGAUGGUAAGGAGACAUCAGUUUUGAUGAGCUUUUGCUUACAUCUGCUCCAGAUAUACUCCUCUCAUAAUAUUGGAAAGGUAAUGCUCUCGCUUUCUUCAACUCUGCGAAGUGAAUCACAAUCCGAAAAGUACAAGGAUCUGCGUGCUUUGCUUCGGCUUUUAACAAAUAUCUGCUCAAAGGAUUUGGUGGGUUUCUUAUCUGAUAGCAACAUUGAAGGCUCCCCAGAUAUUGCAGAGGUCAUCUAUGUUGGUCUUGAUAUUGUGACUCCCUUGAUAUCUUUGGAUCUUCUCAAGUACCCUAAACUAAGUCGUGAUUAUUUUGUACUUAUGUCACACUUGUUGGAAGUGUACCCUGAGAAGGUUGCUCACUUAAACAGGGAUGCCUUUGGAAGAAUUACUGGUAGUCUUGAAUUUGGCCUGCGUAAUCAGGAUGGCGAUGUUGUUGAGAGGUGCCUCACAGCAGUAAAUGCCCUUGCCUCGUACCAUUUCAAAGAAAGAUUUGGAGGCAGAGGAGGGCUUGGCUCGCAGGUUAUGGAAUCUGAAGGAUCGAAUGGCAAACUUCAGGAAAGCAUAUCAAGUCACUUCUUGAGGCUUCUCCUGCAACUACUUCUGUUUGAAGAUUUUAGAAUGGAACUAGCAGGUUCUGCUGCAGAUGCUUUGCUUCCUUUACUUUUUUGUGAACAGGAGUUAUAUCAGAGACUGGUCCAUGAGUUGCUUGAGAAACAGCAGAAUCCGACUAUAAAAUCAAGGCUGGCACUUGCUUUCCAUAACCUGACAAGUUCAAACAAUCUCUCAAGCACCCUUGACCGGCCAAACAGGCAGAAAUUUCGGAAAAAUCUCCGGGUUUUCUUAGGCGAGGUCUCGGGCUUCAUGCAGAUAAAGUAG
rnacentral:rRNA from 1 species